GAGAAAGACAUAGAGGAUAUGGGGUUGGCUUGAAACCAGUCUAAGGGGGUUCGAAUCCUUCCUUUCUUA
rnacentral:tRNA from 1 species